UGAUCUUUUUGUGCCAGCAUUGACCUCUGCUUCUCUAUUUUGAAUAAUUUUGUCAUUGCAUGAUUGGCUUCAUUUUUCGUUCUCAAUUAUUUUGUUUAAUCCUCAAGCUUGAUCUGGACAAGGACUGCUGUUUUGGGUGCUCCAGUGAAGAUUUGGAGCUCAAUUUGUUAUUGUAUUUGGUGAUGGUUUUGGAAUUUGGAUUGAGCAAGUAAAAGGCUCUGGCAAUUUCAUUUCGUUUUUGCUUCUCGGUGGAUUGCGUGAUUCAAGCUUUUCGAUGUGGCUAAGGCAAAUCUAAGCUACAGUUUGAUUUUCAGGCAGUGAGUUCAAAAGGGGUGAUUAGGUUUGUUGAUACCAUCAUUGGUCUGUGACCUCAAAGGACUUUUGGGUUCUUAACCAGUCAGUUCUUACGGAUCCAUCUUCUGAAAAUAGUGGGAGCUAUCGUUUGGUUGGUCUGGAGUGCAUAUUAGAUAUUAUCAGGGCCCUCAGAAUGGGGUCCUGCUUGUCUGCAGAAAGCAGGAGCCCUCGCCCUGGUUCACCUUCCUCUCCUGCUUUUAGGAUCAAGAAGAGGAAUUCGAAGAAGCGACCAGGCUCUCGGAAUUCUUCUUUUGAUUAUAGAAGGGAGGAGCCACUUCAUAGGAUUCCUGGGAGAUUGUUCUUAAAUGGGUCCAGCAAUAUUGCUUCACUGUUUACUCAACAAGGCAAGAAAGGGACCAAUCAGGAUGCCAUGAUUGUUUGGGAGGUACUAAACCUGGAGAAUAUGGACAAAACCAGGCAUUGGAAAAUCGUGGGCUGUAGCGCAUACACAGGGGAGGGGUUGCUUGAGGGAU